rnacentral:rRNA from 1 species
CAACAAAGGGAUGCAAAGCCGCGAGGCAGAGCGAACCCCAAAAAGCCGUCCCAGUUCGGAUCGCAGGCUGCAACCCGCCUGCGUGAAGUCGGAAUCGCUAGUAAUCGCGGAUCAGCAUGCCGCGGUGAAUACGUUCCCGGGCCUUGUACACACCGCCCGUCACACCAUGAGAGUCGGGAACACCCGAAGUCCGUAGCCUAACCGUAAGGAGGGCGCGGCCGAAGGUGGGUUCGAUAAUUGGGGUGAAGUCGUAACAAGGUACC